CCUACGGGUGGCAGCAGUGGGGAAUAUUGCACAAUGGGGGAAACCCUGAUGCAGCAACGCCGCGUGAGUGAAGAAGUAUUUCGAUAUGUAAAGCUCUAUCAGCAGGGAAGAAGAUGACGGUACCUGAGUAAGAAGCCCCGGCUAACUACGUGCCAGCAGCCGCGGUAAUACGUAGGGGGCAAGCGUUAUCCGGAUUUACUGGGUGUAAAGCGCUCGUAGGCGGUAUGUCAAGUCAAGGGUGAAAUCCCCGCGCUCAACGUGGGAACUGCCUUUGAAACUGGCAAACUGGAGUGUGUGAGAGGAUAGUGGAAUUCCAGGUGUUGGAGUGAAAUCCGUAGAUAUCUGGAGGAACAUCAGUGGCGAAGGCGACUAUCUGGCACAUAACUGACGCUGAGGAGCGAAAGCGUGGGUAGCAAACAGGAUUAGAUACCCUAGUAGUC
rnacentral:rRNA from 1 species